rnacentral:rRNA from 1 species
GAUGAACGCUGGCGGUCUGCUUAACACAUGCAAGUCGAACGGAUUUAUUUCUUUAGGGAAAUAAAUUAGUGGCGCACGGGUGCGUAACGCGUAUACAAUCUGCCUCUUACAGGGGGAUAGCCUUUGGAAACGAAGAAUAAUACCCCAUAGUAUGUAGAUAUCGCAUGGUAAUUACAUUAAAGAUUUAUCGGUAAGAGAUGAGUAUGCGUCCUAUUAGCUAGAUGGUGUGGUAACGGCACACCAUGGCAACGAUAGGUAGGGGCCCUGAGAGGGGGAUCCCCCACACUGGUACUGAGACACGGACCAGACUCCUACGGGAGGCAGCAGUGAGGAAUAUUGGACAAUGGGCGCGAGCCUGAUCCAGCCAUGCCGCGUGCAGGAAGACUGCCCUAUGGGUUGUAAACUGCUUUUAUACGGGAAGAAACCCACCUACGUGUAGGUGGCUGACGGUACCGUAAGAAUAAGCAUCGGCUAACUCCG